rnacentral:rRNA from 1 species
AUUGAACGCUGGCGGCAGGCCUAACACAUGCAAGUCGAACGAGUGGCGGACUGGUGAGUAAUGUCUGGGAAACUGCGCGAUGGAGGGGGAUAACUACUGGAAACGGUAGCUAAUACCGCAUACCAUCGGAUGUGCCCCGAUGGGAGUAGCUAGUAGGUGGGGUAACGGCUCACCUAGGCGACGAUCCCUAGCUGGUCUGAGAGGAUGACCAGCCACACUGGAACUGAGACACGGACCAGACUCCUACGGGAGGCAGCAGUGGGGAAUAUUGCACAAUGGGCGAAAGCCUGAUGCAGCCAUGCCGCGUGUAUGAAGAAGGUCUUCGGGUUGUAAAGUACUUUCAGUGAGGAGGCGUUACUCGCAGAAGAAGCCCCGGCUAACUCCGUGCCAGCAGCCGCGGUAAUUC